UGUGGCCAAGGGACAACAUGCAGGGUCUGACUGGAGGCUCAGUUCUACCCAGAGUGUGGGUGCUCAGUUUCCUAUCUGCAGAACAGGAGGAAAACCAGGCCCCUGGAGGAGAGGCAGAAUGACCCUUCCUCCCAGAGGAUUCCAGUGCCACCGUGAGAUGCAAAGACACAGUCACCGGUCCCACACCUUCACUCUGUAGGACACCUCUGAUGUGGCAGACAAAGAAGAAAAUCAAAGGGGGAAUGAACAAGCAAGCAACAGCAAAGUUGUGUGUAGAGCCAGUGAUCUGACUUGAGCCCACCUUGAUUUCUCUUUGGAACGGCUUCGUUGGCAUGAGUAGGAGUUCCCUCCUGGGACAAAUUAAUCUUCCCUAUAUGAAAGCAUUUCACAAGCAUCUACAGACAAGUUUCCUGUCAAGAAAUGAGUUUGUUAAUAAAUGGGGAGAUAAAGAGUUGCUCACAGGCAGCUCAUGCACGGCUGCAGUGUACAAGCCCGUA